rnacentral:rRNA from 1 species
CAGGCCUAACACAUGCAAGUCGAACGGUUAGUAGCAAUACUAAUAGUGGCGCACGGGUGCGUAACACGUAACUAACCUGCCCAAGACUGGGGGAUAGCCCGCCGAAAGGCGGAUUAAUACCGCAUAACACUUUUGAGUGGCAUCACUUGAUAGUUAAACCUGAGGGGGUCUUGGAUGGGGUUGCGGGUCAUUAGCUAGUUGGUAAGGUAACGGCUUACCAAGGCGACGAUGACUAGGGGAGCUGAGAGGCUGGUCCCCCACACGGGCACUGAGAUACGGGCCCGACUCCUACGGGAGGCAGCAGUAGGGAAUAUUGGGCAAUGGGCGAGAGCCUGACCCAGCCAUGCCGCGUGCAGGAAGAAGGCUUUCUGAGUCGUAAACUGCUUUUGAUAGGGAAGAAUAACCUGUACGUGUACAGGGAUGACGGUACCUACAGAAUAAGCACCGGCUAACUCCGUGCCAGCAGCCGCGGUAAU